rnacentral:lncRNA from 1 species
CCAGGGCCUCCCCUCCAGGGCGUGAGAGGGGCAGCUGCUCUGUCCUGUCUCUGCCUAUCCCUGUAUUGGAGGGGUCUCUCUCUCGCUCUUUUUCCUAUCUCUCACUCUCUCCUCUCUCUUGCUCUCUCUCAAUCUCAGGACCUCCUGCCCCAAGGACGGAGGCAGAACAAGAAUGCCCUGAGACCUGACCAGAUGAAUUCUUAGGGCCAAGGAAGAAGCCUGAGCCCCAGAUGGUUCAUGGGAGACCCGGCGGUGCCAGAGCCAGCUUCUCCGAGGACAUCUCGGUGUGGACAGGACAACGAGCGUCAUCCCCCGAGCUUGGGGCCGUUGGAGCUCUGUUGGGGACAAGUGGGAGGAAUCAGUGGAAGCCACAACCCGGACCUGAACCGGACCACCCAGUCUUCCGGACAGCGGACGACUAAGCGGCCACUCAGGGGACCCCGGGGGCACCGCACUGGCUCCACCCUGAGGGAAUCGGUCGGCACCAGGCCGUUGCCACCUGGCCGUCCCCCCCCCCACCCCACCCCGCCCUACCCCCAAGUCCAAAAUUGUAGUCCCUCCAUCCAGACAAUGCCAUUUCCUUUGGCGGCCAAGGGUCAAACGCUGCAUCACGGGUGCCACCCCAGUCUCUGGCAACUCUAAGAGGUGAUGGAUGUGGCGUGUCCGGUGUGAGAACGAGGGCCGGGACCAGAGCAGGGUCAGAGGGGCCGCCCUUCUUCGGACGGGACACGGGUUAUGGAAACGGGGGUCUAGAGUUCUGGACGGGUGCUCGGUUGACAGACCUCAGAGCAGGUGUGAAGUCGCCUGGGGCCCUUAAUUCUAUAGUCAGCGCGAUUUCCGUCUGAUCUGGUCUGUAUAGAGCUCUCUGGCCAUCUCUGGCCUCAAGAGUACAGACUCCCGUUACCGCCCGAGGGGGGUGCCCCUGAGGGAGCGGGGCACAGGGGCAGGAGUAGUCGGGGUGUGUGUAUGUGUGUGUGACUGCCAUGUGUCAUCCAUCCCUCCCGGAGGAGCCCAGUGAGGGGUGGGGUCGAUUAGUAGCAAAUGGUAGAGGGGGAAGAUGCAAAGUGGUUUUUCCCCCCUCACCGAAGGAAAUGGCACAGUCUGGCCCCCUCCUCUCCUCUUCCCCUCCCUGUCGCCUUGCCUGACUGGUCUUUUGUGAAACCAAAUGUAUCUGGAAUAAAAUGUAUACGU